rnacentral:rRNA from 1 species
GACGAACGCUGGCGGCGUGCUUAACACAUGCAAGUCGAACGGAAAGGCCCUGCUUUUGUGGGGUGCUCGAGUGGCGAACGGGUGAGGAACACGUGAGUAACCUGCCCUUGACUUUGGGAUAACUUCAGGAAACUGGGGCUAAUACCGGAUAGGAGCUCCUGCUGCAUGGUGGGGGUUGGAAAGUUUCGGCGGGUGGGGAUGGACUCGCGGCUGAUCAGCUUGUUGGUGGGGUAGUGGCUUACCAAGGCUUUGAAGGGUAGCCGGCCUGAGAGGGUGACCGGCCCAAUGGGGACUGAGAUACGGCCCAGACUCGUACGGGAGGCAGCAGUGGGGAAUAUUGCACAAUGGGCGGAAGCCUGAUGCAGCAACGCCGCGUGCGGGAUGAUGGCCUUCGGGUUGUAAACCGCUUUCGCCUGUGACGAAGCGUGAGUGACGGUAAUGGGUAAAGAAGCACCGGCUAACUACGUG